rnacentral:sRNA from 1 species
AAUCAAAAAGGGUUCGUGGGAAAAGUACCAUCAUGAGAAGAAGUUUUGAAUGAAAGAGCACAUUCGUCAAGACUUAUUGGUUUGGGGUUUUCGGAAGUAGGUGAUGGUCGAUGGGAUGUGAUGUGCUGGAGAAGGAAUUGAAUUUAGGAUGUUAGGGCAUCAAUCUUUGCAUCUUGUUCUACAAGUGUUGUCUUGACAAUCACUAGUACAUGUUCAGUUGCAAGUUAUGAUGCAGUUGUCUUGGAGAUUGUUGACUCCAGUUGAUUUCCUUCCUUCGAAACUUCCCGAUUAGCCACUUCUUCUGUAGUUGAUGGUCUAUGAACAACGGAUUCAACUAUCUUGUUCUUUUCAUUUUGCUUCUUAACCAAUCUUUCAACAUUUUUGCGAAUAAAUUCAAUAGUUGAGACCAGACUUAAAGUGUUUU